rnacentral:rRNA from 1 species
AUACGGAGGGUGCAAGCGUUACUCGGAAUCACUGGGCGUAAAGCGCGCGUAGGCGGCUAUUUAAGUUGGAUGUGAAAGCCUACGGCUCAACCGUAGAACUGCAUCCAAAACUAUUUAGCUAGAGUGUGGGAGAGGAAGAUGGAAUUAGUUAUGUAGGGGUAAAAUCCGUAGAGAUAACUAGGAAUACCAAAAGCGAAGGCAAUCUUCUGGAACACUACUGACGCUGAGGCGCGAAAACGUGGGGAGCAAACAGGAUUAGAAACCCUAGUAGUCC